ensembl:lncRNA
GGAUAGCUUCUUCUCCAUCAAACAGAGCAGAAUAUUUCUACAUUUACUACUUCCGAAGGCUACAAAUUCCUGGAAGUUUUUUUUUAAAUGUAAUUGUUCACAUGAAACAAGUUGCAAGUACAUGCCAAUAGAAAGCUGUCCAGUGCUGAAGGUGCUGAAAUCGAUCAGCAGCAAGGUCUGAGAGAAAACCUGAGCCCUAGGAUCAUGCUUCAGGACUACCUGGCCUGAUGACUCCUGGCUGUCCACAGUCCACCCGGUCGUGCUGCUGCUCCAGUUUCAACUGUUCUGCCUGCGGCUAGGGAACCCUGACCUGUUCACCGGACGUGCUACCUUGUCCCGGACCUGCUGUUUUCGACUUUCUCUCUCUCUACUGCACCUGCUGUCUCGAACUCUGAAUGCUCGGCUAUGAAAAGCCAGCUGAUAUAUACUCUGUGAGGUACUGACCUUUUGCACCCUCUACAACCACUGUGAUUAUUGUUUGACCCUGCUGGUCAUCUAUGAACGUUGGAACAUCUUGAAGAACAAUCUGGCCAUAAAUGGCCAUGUACCCUUAUAAUCUCCACCCGGCACAGCCAGAAGAGGACUGGCCACACCUCAGAGCCUGGUUCAACUCUAGGUGUCUUCCUUUUUCCUAUCCACUGUGCUUCUACAUCUGCAAUGCUUGCUGUUUUGGGUUUUAGGCUGGGUUUCAGUAUAGCACUUUGUGAAAUCUGCUGACAUAAAAAGGGCUUUAUAAAUACAUUUGAUUGAAAUUUGAUUGAUUGAGCGAGAGAGCACAUGGUGUGAGCACAUGUAAGUAGACAGACAGUUGGUUGCAGUGUCUUCAUGUUCAAAUCAAUUCAAAUUUUAUUAGUCACAUGCGUGGAAUACAACAGGUGUAGGUAGACCAUACAUUGAAAUGCUUACUUACGAGCCCCAACCAACAAUGCAGUUAAAAAAAAUAUGGAUCAGAAUAAGAAUUAAAAAUAACAAGUAAUUAAAGAGCAGCAGUAAAAUAACAAUAGCGAGACUAUAUACAGAGGGGUACCGGUACAGGGUCAAUGUGCGGGGGGAGGUCAUUUGUACAUGUAGGUAGAGCAUGACUAUGUAUAGAUGAUAACAGAGAGUAGCAGCGUGGUGUAAAAAGGGG